GGGUGGAUUAGUGGCGAACGGGUGAGUAACACGUGAGUAACCUGCCCUUAACUCUGGGAUAAGCCUGGGAAACUGGGUCUAAUACCGGAUAGGAGCGUCCACCGCAUGGUGGGUGUUGGAAAGAUUUAUCGGUUUUGGAUGGACUCGCGGCCUAUCAGCUUGUUGGUGAGGUAAUGGCUCACCAAGGCGACGACGGGUAGCCGGCCUGAGAGGGUGACCGGCCACACUGGGACUGAGACACGGCCCAGACUCCUACGGGAGGCAGCAGUGGGGAAUAUUGCACAAUGGGCGCAAGCCUGAUGCAGCGACGCCGCGUGAGGGAUGACGGCCUUCGGGUUGUAAACCUCUUUCAGUAGGGAAGAAGCGAAAGUGACGGUACCUGCAGAAGAAGCACCGGCUAACUACGUGCCAGCAGCCGCGGUAAUACGUAGGGUGCGAGCGUUAUCCGGAAUUAUUGGGCGUAAAGAGCUCGUAGGCGGUUUGUCGCGUCUGUCGUGAAAGUCCGGGGCUUAACCCCGGAUCUGCGGUGGGUACGGGCAGACUAGAGUGC
rnacentral:rRNA from 1 species